rnacentral:tRNA from 1 species
GGGCUGGGGCUCAGUGGUAGAGCACUUGCCUCAUACACAAGAGGCCUUGGGUUCGAUACCCAGUACCACA